UGAGAGCGUGAGCCGGGAAUGGAAAGACCGGUACAAGCGAGGUAGGAGAAGAGUUGGCAAAUCCGCUCUUUAAUCUGAAGACGUGAUGUGGACUGAAAAUAAGUAGGGAAGCACGUGAGCUGACUGUCAAGAAAAGCCGCUAUUGUUUGCAGGAUACCCGUACCGUAAACCGACACAGGUGGAUGAGGAGAGAAUCCUAAGGCCGACGGGAGAAGCAUUGUUAAGGAACUCGGCAAAAUGACUCCGUAACUUCGGGAGAAGGAGUGCCAGUAAGAUGGCCGCAGAGAAUUGGCCCAAGCAACUGUUUAGCAAAAACACAGGUCUAUGCAAAACCGAAAGGUGAGGUAUAUGGGCUGACGCCUGCCCGGUGCUGGAAGGUUAAGGGGAGAGGUUAGCGCAAGCGAAGCUUUGAACUUAAGCCCCAGUAAACGGCGGCCGUAACAAUAACGGUCCUAAGGUAGCGAAAUUCCUUGUCGGGUAAGUUCCAACCCGCACGAAAGGCGUAAUGAUUUGGGCACUGUCUCAACAAUGCACCCGGUGAAAUUGAAAUACCAGUGAAGAUGCUGGUUACCUGCGCCAGGACGGAAAGACCCCAUGGAGCUUUACUCCAGCUUGAUACUGGGAUUCGGUAUUGCAUGUACAGGAUAGGUGGGAGGCUAGGAAAUGGUAACGCCAGUUGCCAUGGAGCCGAUGUUGGGAUACCACCCUUGCAGUACUGGGUUUCUAACCAGCAGCCGUGAUCCGGCUGGGGGACAAUGUCAGGUGGGGAGUUUGACUGGGGCGGUCGCCUCCGAAAGGGUAUCGGAGGCGCUCAAAGGUUCCCUCAGAAUGGUUGGAAACCAUUCGAAGAGUGCAAAGGCAGAAGGGAGCUUGACUGCGACACCGACGGGUGGAGCAGGUACGAAAGUAGGACUUAGUGAUCCGGUGGUAUAAAGUGGGAUUGCCAUCGCUCAACGGAUAAAAGCUACCCUGGGAUAACAGGCUUAUCACUCCCAAGAGUUCACAUCGACGGAGUGGUUUGGCACCUCGAUGUCGGCUCAUCGCAUCCUGGGGCUGAAGUAGGUCCCAAGGGUUGGGCUGUUCGCCCAUUAAAGCGGUACGCGAGCUGGGUUCAGAACGUCGUGAGACAGUUCGGUCCCUAUCCGGCGUGGGCGUAAGAUAUUUGAGAGGAGCUGUCCUUAGUACGAGAGGACCGGGAUGGACUGGCCGCUGGUGUAUCUGUUGUCUUACCAAAGGCAUAGCAGAGUAGCCAAGCCGGGAAGGGAUAAACGCUGAAGGCAUCUAAGCGUGAAGCCCCACUCAAGAUGAGAUAUCUCAUAACGUCAAGUUAGUAAGACCCCUUGAAGACGACGAGGUAGAUAGGGCAGAGGUGGAAGUGUGGUAACACAUGGAGCUGACUGUUACUAAUAGGUCGAGGGCAUAACCA
rnacentral:rRNA from 1 species